GGACCUUGGAGCUCAGGGGCCCAGGUUCAAAUGGCCUGUUGAACCUGCGGUACGCCAUUGGGGCUUGAUGAUCAGUUGUGGGCGCUAAUUCGCAAAAUAAGAAAAUAGUGUAUGCAAGAAGUAAAAAGUGGAGCAAAUCCAAGUUUAUACAUGACUAACAGAACAAGUUUAAGAAAACAGUGUGUGCAAGCAGUGAAAUUGGUAGCAAAUCGACGUUUUAUGGCUAACAGAACAUGUUUAAGCUGAAGGAAUUUUGAAUCUAAACCUUAUCAUGUGUGAUGGAUGUGAUGUUUGAUCUAAAGAUCCUUGAAUUUAAAUUACAAACUUAUUGUAUGAUAAAACGUUCCACUAUUUUUUUUAAUGAAAGUAGGUAGAAGGGAUAGCCAUGUUAGCCUACUGUAGAUGAUUAACAGUGCAGUAAGUAAAUAACACACGGCACUUUCUAGAGAAACACAUUUAUUACACAAGCUUUCAUCCAAACAUUGGCAAUAAAUUUGUUAGUCUGAAAAGUGUUAUUUGUCAUUUAGGCCUAUUUAUUAGGAAGUGCAGUAAAACCGUAGAGUCUGUAAUUUAACUGCUAUGCAAAGAGAAGUAUAUAUUUUAAUUAAUAACUUCUAAGUCUAAAGAAAUUAGUAUAGAAAAAUUUUCAUAGAAUAUAUUGUUAUUCAUUAUUUGGAAUGACCAGUAGUGUUUUUUUAAGGGAAAUCGAAGCAAUGUUAAAUUUUUGAUGAUGGGUUAUUGAAGAAAGGAAAAGCAAUUUUUAGUACUAGGUCUAGUGUAAGGGAGAUAUGUCAUUCACAGAACAAAAAACUCUUUUGAUUUCAUAUUGAUUGAGACAAGAUAAGAUUUUAAUGUUAUAUUGUAUGUAGUGACAGUGAAAUGUUCAUUGAGUGUAAAGUAAUGUUUGAAUCUUAUUGUCAGACCUAAAUAUGCAAUAAUUUAACUGUAUGACCAUAAGACUGAUAAAUGUGAAUAUAUGUCAUUUGUUUUAAAGUGCUGUUCCUGUGUUUAUUAAGUAUUUCUUUGCAUAGGAUCUGUCAAUUAGUGAAUUCUUUUUCAAUCGAUAUUGCAUUUAAUUUUCCUCUGUCAUUUUAAAAUAAGCUGUUAAAUUUUCAACUUUUUUUGUUUUGUAUUUUUUCAUUGUCACCAAUUGUCUGCCUAACACAUAGAGAUAAGAAUAUCCAAAUAAUUGGAAUUUAUUUUUUUUAAAUUAUGAUGUAAAUGAGGGGCAUUGACACUUCCGUGAGUAUAGUAGCAAAUUUAACUAUUAAACAUAUCAGAUACUAAAUAUAGAGUAUUUAGGUUUCUUCUAUGCAAUAAUCAUCUCUUAUAAACUUAUAACUAUUAAGUAUUUGUCAGCAAAUUUACAUUUUCUGCCUUUGCACCAUUGAUAUUUUCUGUCAUCUGUAGUAUCAAAUAAAGUGCUCAAUGUUUAGAUUUAUUUUUAGGAACCAGUAAUUAAUCGCUGUGAUGUUCCAUUGAAAAUAUAACUCAAUUGUAUUUUUAAUUCACUUUACCUACUUCAUGUGUAUUUUACACAAAAUAUGUACUAUAGUACAUAUCUUGUGCAAAAUACAGAAGUAAC